CGAGCCUGAUGCAGCCAUGCCGCGUGUAUGAAGAAGGCCUUCGGGUUGUAAAGUACUUUCAGCGGGGAGGAAGGCGAUGGGGUUAAUAACCUUAUCGAUUGACGUUACCCGCAGAAGAAGCACCGGCUAACUCCGUGCCAGCAGCCGCGGUAAU
rnacentral:rRNA from 1 species